rnacentral:lncRNA from 1 species
CAACAAAAGUUUGAAGUUCCACCUCUUCUCGACCAUACAUGGUAAAGAAAUACUCUUAUAUACAAACAUACAUAUAUAUUUGUAUUGUCAACCCUAACUCUUAUCUACUUAUACUUGAGACUCAUUUUGUCUUCAAACAGAAGAGAGAGAGAGAGAGGGUACAAGAUGGAGAUGCAUGAGCUCCACAGAAGCAAAGGUGCACAAAUGACAAGAUUUGCUGCAUGAAAUAUUUUUGGCUUCGAGGAUGUGUGAAGUAUCCAUGAAAUUAUUUGGCAUUGUUGUCAAGAUGAUCAUCUUGCGACAUGUAAAAUGUUCUUUAAUUAAUUAUUAUAAUGUACACGUAAAAAUUACUACAUGUAUAGAAUAUUAUGCUUCAUUAACUCUCUCUCCUCAAUGCAGUUUACGGAAGAAUGCAAGAGAAGAUUGAAUGAAAGCAAAGAUAUUAUGGCAAUGUAGAGUGAUGUAUGAAUUGAGAAACUAAUCACAGCCAAAUCAUUGUUUGGUGAGGAAAUCAUCACUGUUCUUUU